GCGAGCGUGGCGGAAUUGGUAGACGCACUGGAUUUAGGUUCCAGCGCUGUAAGGCGUGGGAGUUCGAUUCUCCCCGCUCGCACCA
rnacentral:tRNA from 2 species